UGGGGAAUUUUGGACAAUGGGCGAAAGCCUGAUCCAGCAAUGCCGCGUGUGUGGAGAAGGCCUUCGGGUUGUAAAGCACUUUUGUCCGGAAAGAAAUCCUUGGCUCUAAUACAGUCGGGGGAUGACGGUACCGGAAGAAUAAGCACCGGCUAACUACGUGCCAGCAGCCGCGGUAAUACGUAGGGUGCAAGCGUUAAUCGGAAUUACUGGGCGUAAAGCGUGCGCAGGCGGUUUGCUAAGACCGAUGUGAAAUCCCCGGGCUCAACCUGGGAACUGCAUUGGUGACUGGCAGGCUAGAGUAUGGCAGAGGGGGGUAGAAUUCCACGUGUAGCANGUGAAAUGCGUAGAGAUGUGGAGGAAUACCGAUGGCGAAGGCAGCCCCCCUGGGCCAAUACUGACGCUCAUGCACGAAAAGCGUGGGGAGCAAACAGGAUUAGAUACCCUGGUAGUCCACGCCCUAAACGAUGUCAACUAGUUGUUGGGGAUUCAUUUCCUUAGUAACGUAGCUAACGCGUGAAGUUGACCGCCUGGGGGAGUACGGUCGCAAGAUUAAAACUUAAUA
rnacentral:rRNA from 1 species